rnacentral:misc_RNA from 1 species
GAUGAAGAACGUAGCGAAAUGCGAUAAGUAAUGCGAAUUGCAGAAUUUCCGUGAGUCAUCGAAUCUUUGAACGCACAUUGCGCCCCCUGGUAUUCCGGGGGGCAUGCCUGUCCGAGCGUCAUUACAACCCUCAAGCUCAGCUUGGUGUUGGGCCCCGCCGCCCCGGCGGGCCCUAAAGUCAGUGGCGGUGCCGCCCGGCUCCGAGCGUAGUAAUUCUUCUCGCUCUGGAGGUCCGGUCGUGUGCUCGCCAGCAACCCCCAAUUUUUUUCAGGUUGACCUCGGAUCAGGUAGGGAUACCCGCUGAACUUAAGCAUAUCAAUAAGCGGAGGA